GAUGAACGCUGGCGGCGUGCCUAAUACAUGCAAGUCGAGCGAACGGACGAGAAGCGCGCUCCCCUGAUGUUAGCGGCGGACGGGCGAGUAACACGUGGAUAACCUACCUAUAAGACUGGGAGAACUUCGGGAAACCGGAGCCAAUACCGGAUAAUAUUUUGAACGGCAUGGAGCAAAAGAGAAAGACGGUCUUGCUGUCACUUAUAGACGGAUCCGCGCUGCAUUAGCUAGUUGGUAAGGUAACGGCUUACCAAGGCAACGAUGCAUAGCCGACCUGAGAGGGUGAUCGGCCACACUGGAACUGAGACACGGUCCAGACUCCUACGGGAGGCAGCAGUAGGGAAUCUUCCGCAAUGGGCGCAAGCCUGACGGAGCAACGCCGCGUGAGUGAUGAAGGUCUUCGGAUCGUAAAACUCUGUUAUUAGGGAAGAACAUAUGUGUAAGUAACUGUGCACAUCUUGACGGUACCUAAUCAGAAAGCCACGGCUAACUACGUG
rnacentral:rRNA from 1 species